GUCGAUACUGAAUGGUUGUUUUUUCAAGCUUUGCUCGACCAAAUUCUUGAAUGAUCCGAUAUCCUUUGAACGCAAACUAUCCAGUAAUAAUUUAUAAAUAAUUUGAGAUCGCGUUGGAACGGCAGUGUAAUUGUGCAAAAGGUGUGAAUGAAGAGUGUUUGGUGGAGGAGAAUAGAAAGCGUGCUUUAGAUUGAGAGGAAGUGAAAAUGCAAAGAUACAUAAUACAAUGAGAGCUGGUGUGAAGAACAGCAUAGCGAGCUUAUGAAAAUUUGGCAAAAAACGGACCAAAGAGAAUCAAACUCCGAACCUAAAAUAUUGUAUAGAGUAUAUAACGUGGGUGUAUCGGUCAUUAUGAUACAGUUUCAGCGAGUGAUGUCACCGAAACAUGUUUAAUAUUUUAAGCAUUAUCUUUUUACAGGUAAUUCGUUCGAGGAAUGUGUUAUCCGAAACGAUGUACAAUAUCGUGUUACUGCACAUUGCAGUCACUUUACAAUUGAAAUAUUUUAUCAUCGAUAAUUAAUUAAUAUUCGAAUAUUUUCAUAUUCACGUAGUUUAGUUUUCGUUUGUUUUCUCCAAAACACAAGACAAAUGUUUAUCAUGCACGGAAGCAGAGAUAUACUAUCCGGAUGCGUUUCCUGUCGUUAGCAUUCAUUUAAAUUCAGACAAACGAGAAGCGUGAAUACCAUUGUUAUCAGAUUAUUCUCGGAUCAUUUCAAUGGUCUCUAUUGCAAUGGGCUCUUAUCAAAGGUAAAAUAUCAAAUUCGAAAUUAACACCUGAAAGAAAUGCUUUUGUUCGGGACAUUAAUUUUCUCGUGUUAAAACAAUGGAUGGAAAAUUAACGGCAGUACGUAUUGCUGAUAAUACGAUCUAAGAUAUUAUCAAUUGAGAUCGUUAAAUAAUGCAUGCUGAAUAUGCAACUACAGUAAUGAGACUUUAAUCGUUUCAUAUUAAACGACACACCUUAGAGUGCAAUUUAUAGGAUCACACCAGGAGAGUAUAUCAAUCUAUAUACGUUUCUAAAAAUGAAGAGUAUAAAUUGAUGACGGCAUCGUACGAGCAAUUUUAAUGACAAGAAGAUUAAUCUAUAAUACUAUAGGUACAUACCCCUGCGACGAUGAUAGAAAGGAAAUGAAAAUCCCACGACGUACACCGUCUGUCACCCAAUGGACUGAACUACACUUGCUGACCAGUUCUCUGUAUCGUGAUGUCAGCAGAGAAAGAGAGGGGACCACCAUGCGAUCAAGUGUCAGACAGUGGUUGUAACAGUGCUGCUGCUUUAGACAGCGAAUGCAUGUUUCCCGUCGUGUUAAUUAUUCGACUUACAGUAUUAAACCCUUUUAGCGCGCACAUAAAGAAUGAUCAUAUUGUUCUAUUCUUUUCUUUAUGAAAGUCUAGUCAACUUUAUGAAUUCUAAAUGGGCAAUCAUUUGUAUUUUUAUAUACAUUUUAUGUCCACUUUCAUAAAAAAUGUUCGAUUCGACAGGAAACGCUGAAACAGGAUUAAACGAUUACGUCAACAAUCUAACGAGCUGACUUUUGCCCUGAGCACACAAGACAACAAGGUCAAGAGAACCAAGGAUGGAGGUACCAAGAACGUUAGGAAAAUAAUUUGCUUCGACUAUGAGAGUUUUACCGAUCAAAAACGAAUUGUUUUGUAGAAUGAAUUAAGAAGAAUAUCUAAAAAUGGAAAUUACACAAGGAUGGUGACGACACUUUAAAUAGGCAUAUUAUAGGAGACAAGUAAGCAUGAAAAAAAAAGGAACUGAAAUUUAAUGUAGCGUGAAGAGAAAUUUAUAAUUUAACUGGAAAGUGAAUUUCUAAAAAUUUCAAGGUCUCAAGGACUUGGUAAUAUUUAUUAUUAGCAAUUUAUAAUUGUUUAUUAAAUAAUUAUAUUAAAUUUUGAAAAAUAAAACACGGAGGUGAUUCAU